AUCAUGGACUCGCAGACCGGGGCGCCGUUGUGGAUGAGCACUGGUAUCUUCUUGUGCACCGGGUUGGACUUGAGGAGAAGCUCGCUCUUCUUGUACAGGUCCUCCUCCACGUCCUCGUAGCUCAGGCCCUUCAGGGCGAGUGCCAGCUUCACCCUGGUAACAAACGGGCUUGGCCAUGUGCCGAGCAGCUUCAGGUCAUCUCGUCCGGCCAUCUCUAACUACCUCGAUCGAUGUUGUGUGUGUGUGUGUGUGUUUUGAAGACCUUGUGCUUGUGCUUAUUUUCGAUGGAUGUGUUUUGAAGACCUUGUGCUUGUGCUUAUUUUCGAUGGAUGUUUCACAGGUGGAUAAACUGUUUAUAUAGUGUCUAUGGACAACAUAUGUAUGCGUCAUCCCUGAUGCUACUUCGAGGACAGUGUCAUCCGUGAUGCCUGGGCGAUGAGCAUAUGAGCCUGUGUCUACUAGUCCGGCUAUGAAUUUUUAAAACUUUUACUAAAAAUCAGUUUCCUUCAAUCAUGCUUGACUGGAGAUGAGCCUGUCUUAAUUACUAGUAUUUUUUAUGCACCACCUGCUGAUGCCUCCCAUCGCGCAAGCCCUUCCGUCAGCACACCGUCCAUCCAGAUGUCAAUUUUUCGACUUUGCUGCGAGCAGAUGAUUAAAAAUACCGUAGCUACCCUCGUUCGGAAUUACUUGUCAUAAAAAUAGAUAUAAAAUAAAUAUAUUUAGAACUAAAAUACGUUCAGAAACAAUCAUUUCUUCGUCAAGUAUCUCCCGAUGGAGAGAGUAUUUACAAUAAAAUUCGCCUCAUUUGUCACUAAAUGUGGAGGUUGUAUCUGAAUUAAAAUUUCAGUUCUGCUAAAGCACAUCUAGAUGUGCUCUAAGGAUUGCACAUCUUAGUACUAUGUCAUUGAUUUUAUCUAAGACUCAUGCAAGCAUUUCUUUUGUCUUUUUCCUUUCUUUCUAGUUUAAUUGACUCGCUUAGAUGUGCAAUAAUUAGGGCAGACAAAACCUUAAAAUUUCAAUGACAUAAUUUAAAGAGACCACCUAUUCAACGGUUGCCUUUUUUUUGUUGCUUUUCGUCGAUUUCGCUCAAUCCAAACCUUCUGAAGAUUCUUCUUGGCCAGCUCCAGAUCAAGGUUGAGGCUGAUCUGUUUCUUCUCCAACUCAGCAAACCGGGCCCCGAGCUCACAAGAUUUCUGCGGUCAGCAAACAAGGCACGUCAGUCUACAGAAACAAAGGUUAAUCUCAGCAAAAAAAGUGUUCUAAGACUACCGCUGAAUCAAAAUAUUCAACAGUAGUCUCGCGGACUACGCCAAGUGGAUGCACUUGGCGUGCCCCUACUGGUCCAGUUUACCACUCAGCAUGGUCUGCCAAGCAUGAGUAUGCAAAAAAAUAGAGGGAUUCAAAGACCACAGCCGACUACCAGCAGUCGACCGUGGUCUCCGGGACUACACCUAGUUGGUGCACUCUGCGUGCCCCCGCUGGUCUGGAUUCCACUCGAAACAAGCUAUUCAACCGAGUGAAAGAACAAUGAAGUGACAUUCGACAAAGACCCCCGUCGAAUCAAACAUCCGACGGCGGACUUCGGGAUCAAAUUGAGAGAUCAGUCUGAAAUCAACUGACCUUGACAUUAACACGCAGAGCAGAGCUGGCGUUGUGGGCAGCCUGGCUGGCCUCGUGCACCACCUUCAUCUGCUCCAUCAUAACGUUUGCUUGGAGUAUGGCUUCCUUGGCGGCACCCGCCGGGUCAUUUGGAGUGUGAUGUGCAGCAAAGAGCGACGAUGGCAGUACAGUCAGAGCAAUCACAGGAUCUGAAGCAUGGAACUGUGUAGGAGAAGCAGAGACUUGAGCAAUCGACGCCGAGGGAUGGUCAGUCGACACAAGAUUGGCAAAAGAAAUAGUGGCCCGAGUCGGAUCUCCGAAUCACUGGACCACCGUCUCUGGUGCCGAUGUCGACUGAGGCUCCUGGCCUACAACCGUCCUCCCGCUCGAAGCCCUGCCCCUCCUUCCUGUAUUCUUCUAAGGCGCUUCUUCAUCGUCGUCUGGAAGUUUAAUGACGUCCCGUGGGGCUACACAAAAUGCAACCAUAGAGGCUCAAUUGACCAGCAAUUCAGUCGACAAAACAAGCACAAGAUUACAGGAUCGUACCAGCUUUGGAAGUUGCCGCAUCUUCAGUCUCCUCAUCAUCUUAAGCCUUGUCAAUAUCCAUGGAAGUCCCGGAAGUUGCAGCACUGAAAAAUUCAUAGCCCACUCGGUCAUAGCUGAAGUAUGAGUCAGUAGGAGAACACAGAGACAGAACACUCACGCAGAAGCGACGGGAACGUCCAUCUUGAUCCUGGGCAAGGUCUUCUGAGGCUUUGAAGGGGAAACCUUGGGCUGCUUGGUGACCUUUUCUGACGGCUCCGGUCCGAGUGCGCUUAUGCACUUGCGUGCUCGGAGCCACAGCCUUGUUGCGGCCUCCCGCUGGAUCAUGAGACUGCUUGGAUCGGCGCUCUGUGCGAGGUGGUGAGUCGACCUCCUCUUCUUCGUCGUCUGACUCAUCACUCUCUUCCUCAUCAUCAUCAUCAGAAGAUUGCCAGUCGGCGCUCUCCUCUGCGCUAUCUGCUUCCUCCUGGACUUGCUCCUGGGCUUGCUCCCUGUUCGACAUCGAAUACAUCUUAGUAUAGACCUGCAAGGCAAGAAGUUAAUCAAACAUCAGUCAUAUUCAAAGACGGUUGCAAGACAGAAUGAAGUACACUCGGUAAUAAGGAUCGGACCUUGUCCGGCUGGUUGUCAACGUUGAAUGGAUCGACUUUCCUGGCCCCCCUAGGGUUAUCUUUGUUUUCGGUAAUGCUCUUCAGCCACAGGGCCACCAUCUCGUCGGGGACCUCCUCUGGGUGGACCCGAGCGGUGUCAUUGGAGCCCAAGUACAUCCACAUCGAAUGAUCACGGGCUUGUAGCAGCUGGAUGCAUCGACUGAGAAACACUUCCAAUAAAUCCAUGUCAGUUACGCCCUGAGGGACCAACUGAACUACCCUCUCGACUAACAUGUUUGUCUCUACUCUCUCCGCUUUGGUCACAAUCAGUGAACAAGGUUGCUGGACUCGAUCUAGGGUAAAGGGAGGAAGAUCGGUCGACUGACCGGGGGUCGGAAUGUCUCGCAGUAGAACAAGGUCAACUGCCAGCCCCUAACCGACUCAGGAAGGGUCAAAGGGGGAAAAGUGCUCCUCUUCCUCAUCUGAAUCCCUAAACCCCCGCACAUUUGAAUCACAUGCAUCCUCUCGUCAGUCGGAUUUUCCUUCUUCACGGUUUGGGAACGAACUGUGAAAAUAUGUUUGAAGAGACCCCAGUGCGGUCUACAGCCCAAGAAGUUUUCGCACAUAGAAACGAAUGCAGCAAGGUAUGUGAUGGUGUUGGGAGAGAAAUGGUGAAGCUGAGCACCGAAAAAGUUCUGAAACCCUGUAAGAAAGGAUGCGGGGCAAGGGAGAACCCACGGUCGACAUGGGUGGCAAGGAGGACGCACUCACCCGCCCGCGGCUGAGGCUCUAUCUCGUCCCCCGGCAGCCUCGAAGUCCCGUCAGCAAUCAAGCCCAUGGAGGCCAGAUCUUCCAGAUCCUCUGGCCGGAGCGUGGAUCGGAUCCAGUCCCCCUGGAUCCAACCAGGCGGCAUCCCAGACCUUGACGAUGAUCCCCGACUCGUUUUCUUGCCCUUCGCUGUCGUCGUCGCUUUCUUCGCUCACUCCAGUGCCGCCGUCUUAUCCUUCACCACUGUGGCAGGCUGCGCACGGGCGGAGCGACGGCGUCAAGGGCGAAAGAGGACGCGGUGGAGAAGCAGAGGAAGAAGAAGGGGAAUGGGAGUGCACUGUGCAAAUGCAUCGGCCUUGACACCUUUUAUGGGCCUACUUCCGAGUGGCUGACGAGUGGGCCCGAGCGAUCCUGUCAAAUCCCGCAAUAGUCACGCACCGAACACGCGGCGAAAAAGGUGGCAUAGAAAUCGAGGCGCCCAUGUCUAUCCGUCCCGUUUACUGUGGCGCGCUCCACCUCGCGCGCUUCCCCAAAUUUUCAGAUCCCGUGAGAUCCGGGAACCGCAGUAACCAAUCGUGCCGAAGAUUUCACACCAUAUCAACACUCGAAGGUUGCCAGCAUAAGUUCAGUCGACGACCUCUGAAUCGAUCAAGGUGACUGAAAUGAAGUCGAAGUUUCAGCAUGAACCUCGAGCUCAACAAGAAUGCCUAUGAAGCAUAAGAGUCAAGUCAAGGUCAACUUCAACUCGCUAUCGGACCUCAAUCCAUUCGGGGGCUAAUGACGAUGCCAUGAACCUAUGAUAGGGUCAUAGGUCUGACCUAUACGCCCUACCCAAGGUCAGUACCCUAGAGUCAAGGACAUUCAAAGUAUAGCAAGAAGUACUGACUGAAGCCGUCGAGUGCAAUCCACUCGACCAGUCACCUCACCCGGAUACCCCAAUUUCACUCGACCUGGAUGGAGUCAUUUGACCAUACAGGAAACCACUCGGAGUACAGAAGACCUAGAGUCACUCAUGAUGGCAACGGUCAGGCGUUCACUCUGUAGUCUUAAAGAUCAUUAAUAGCAUUUUAUAGCCGGCGUUACCACUAACGCUCUGUCUUAAUGUACAUUGAACCCCUGUAACGGAGGACGCAUGGGGUCCUGGCGCAGUGUAUAUAAGCCACCCCCUCCUCUGGGACAAGGGUUCGCACCCCUUGUAACACACCCAUAUUCCAGUCGACCGUCUUAGGGCACCGAGACGUAGGGCUUUUACCUCCUUCAAGAGGGGCCUGAACUCGUAAACUUGUGCGUACAAUCUCGCCGUAACUAGGGCCUUGCCUCCUCAUACGUACCCCCUACUCUUACUGUCAGACUUACAACCACGACAGAUAGUUAGUGAUAUUCUAUUUAAGCUAAUCUCUUGUCUCUAUCUCCCCUUGUAGUCCUCCUGCGGUUAGCCUGGCUGCCGAAUACUGUAACCUACGAGAGACAUCUCUCGAUCAGAUCAAUAUAAACCAAUGUGAGUCCUCUAUUUGAGAGUUGAGAUGCUUCCACAAUCUUCACAUGGUAAUCAAAGCCUCCCUCUUCCACUGCAUCUAGCAACCAUCUUCUCAAUCGCAUCAUCCAGCCUCCCAUCUUCCCAUCACACCCACUAUUUCUUUCUCCAGCCAAACUAUCUCCACCAGCCUGAACAAUACCAUCUCCGAGCCUCUCACAAGAACCAACUAUAUUCUAUCGUGAGCCCAAGCUCGCUCCCAGAUCAUGGGGACAGGGCUAUAUGGGUAUGUCGAUCAAACCAUUGCCGAGACACCAAAAACCAUUGUUACCAAAACCUCCGAAGGGAAGGAACAAACCGUUCCUAAUCCGGCCCAUAGCCCUUGUCUUACUCAAGAUGCAGCGGACAUUCGGACAAGGAGGACGCAGAAUAAGUCCGGUUGUGUCCGCUUCGGACCCAAAUCUGACCCAAUUUGCAACGAAAAUGGGUCCAAACGCAAACAAAACGAACAGAAAAUGGGAAUGGGUGUCCGCUUGGGCAUCUUUUUCGUCCGGGCGGACAUAAACGGAUGCGGCCGGACCAAAUGGGUCGCCGCAUUGGAGAUGCUCUAAGAGAUUGGAAAUUUUCUAUGGACCUACCCGCAACCAUGCUAGGUAGUAGUAUGAUGGAUUGUUUUCGGUAUGUCUGUCAUCUGAUCAUCGAUGUAUGGUUGAGAGGCAUUUGGUUCUCUUUAGCGAAUUACACCAAAAUAUAUUUUCCUAGACUUUCGACUGCUACAAAAUUUAAGCCCCCAACUUGUUUUCUACUCUGCAUUGAGAGGUUUGGGGUCUUGCCAAAAGUUGGAGGUGUUGGUGCUAUUUUUAUUUUAUUUUAUUUUUCAAAAAUAUAUAUUUUAUUUUUGAGGUGGCUGACCAAAUUACCUCGAUUGAGAAGUCUUUCAAGAAAUCAUUUUUGCUGGAUUGAGGCUAAUCCGAGGGGUUUUGCGUGCCUCUUUUGAAACGUCUUAUGAACUACAACAGCAUGAUUGAUCAACAAACGGUCACUCAAAUAUAUCUGCAUUUCCAUAGCAAAGGUGCGAAGAAAUAUUGACUAUUUCUCCUUUACUUGGUCUAGCCCAAGUAUCACAACGAUGAAUGAAAUAUAUAUAAAUUCAGACCAAAUUUACCAUAAAGCAAUUUGUAAGCAUUUUGCUGGUAGAUUAAAAAAACUGUCGAACUCAUCUCUUGAAUCAGAAAGAGAACCUCAGCUAAUACAUGCACGCAUUAUAAAAUUUGCGAACUCCACACAAAAGCAAAAUAUUAAAAACUCAAGGACAUAAUCAACACUGAAUAAAUGGACGACAUGAGUUACUGCUACAUUAUUACAUCAAGCAGCCAAACAAACAACAUUUAAAAAUAGCAAAUUUUAGUUAUUCUGGAUGUGUGCUGGCUCAGUUAGACGGUGCAGCGGCAGCCUCUCGUGCCUUGGCGAACUCAAGCAGCCUGCCCACGUCUGGCAGGGCCACCUUGGCCGCGUCGAGCUCGCUGAAGCGCUCCACCCAUGCGGCCAGGAGCGGGGUCUUGGCGGCAUCGAAGAUCUUGUCACCGGACAACACCUCGGUCACCUUCAUCCACGACAGCACGCCUCCCAGCGCAACGUCGACGAGCCCGAGGCCGUCGCCGCCGAAGAAGCCCCCUCCCUUGGAGCAUUCCCUCAGGGCCCCUUCAAGAAUCUCCACCGCCGCGAACGCCUGCUUCUUUCCCUCGGAUUUCUCCUCCUCUGUCUUGCCACUCAACCACUGCCUUCAUGGGGCUACCAGCUGAAACACGGAGAAAAAUAAUGGUCAAAGUUGCUCGUUCGAUAUCUAAAAGUAAAGGAACGGAGACAAGUAGUGCAAGUAAGUGAAGAUAAUUUAAACUUUGUCGUCAACGUAGGCCAUCCAGAAGCGAGCAAUGGCGCGCUCGUAGGGGUCCGCUGGGAGAAGGGACGGGCCGGUGCCGGCGAAGACUUCGUCAAUGUACUGCAGAAUGAUCAUGGACUCGCAGACCGGGGCGCCGUUGUGGAUGAGCACUGGUAUCUUCUUGUGCACCGGGUUGGACUUGAGGAGAAGCUCGCUCUUCUCGUACAGGUCCUCCUCCACGUCCUCGUAGCUCAGGCCCUUCAGGGCGAGUGCCAGCUUCACCCUGGUAACAAACGGGCUUGGCCAUGUGCCGAGCAGCUUCAGGUCAUCUCGUCCGGCCAUCUCUAACUACCUCGAUCGAUGUUGUGUGUGUGUGUGUGUGUGUUUUGAAGACCACUGAGAUUGCUUUAGCUGCUUGUGCUUGUGCUUAUUUUUGAUGGAUGUUUCACAGGUGGAUAAACUGUUUAUAUAGUGUCUAUGGACAACAUAUGUAUGCGUCAUCCCUGAUGCUACUUCGAGGACAGUGUCAUCCGUGAUGCCUGGGCGAUGAGCAUAUGAGCCUGUGUCUACUAGUCCGGCUAUGAAUUUUUAAAACUUUUACUAAAAAUCAGUUUCCUUCAAUCAUGCUUGACUGGAGAUGAGUCUGUCUUAAUUACUAGUAUUUUUUAUGCACUACCUGCUGCUGCCCCCCAUCGGGCAAGCCCUUCCGUCAGCACACCGUCCAUCCAGAUGUCAAUUUUUCGACUUUGCUGCGAGCAGAUGAUUAAAAAUACCGUAGCUACCCUCGUUUGAAAUUACUUGUCAUAAAAAUAGAUAUAAAAUAAAUAUAUUUAGAAGUAAAAUACGUUCAGAAACAAUCAUUUCUUCGUCAAGUAUCUCCCAAUGGAGAGAGUAUUUACAAUAAAAUUCGCCUCAUUUGUCACUGAAUGUGGAGGUUGUAUCUGAAUUAAAAUUUCAGUUCUGCUAAAGCACAUCUAGAUGUGCUCUAAGGAUUGCACAUCUUAGUACUAUGUCAUUGAUUUUAUCUAAGACUCAUGCAAGCAUUUCUUUUGUCUUUUUCCUUUCUUUCUAGUUUAAUUGACUCGCUUAGAUGUGCAAUAACUAGGGCAGACAAAACCUUAAAAUUUCAAUGACAUAAUUUAAAGAGACCACCUAUUCAACUGUUGCCUUUUUUUUGUUGCUUUCGUCGAUUUCGCUCAAUCCAAACCUUCUGAAGAUUCUUCUUGGCCAGUUCCAGAUCAAGGUUGAGGCUGAUCUGUUUCUUCUCCAACUCAGCAAACCGGGCCCCGAGCUCAAAAGAUUUCUGCGGUCAGGAAACAAGGCACGUCAGUCGACAGAAACAAUGAUUAAUCUCAGCAAAAAAAAGUGUUCUAAGACUACCGCUGAAUCAAAAUAUUCAACAGUAGUCUCGCGGACUACGCCCAGUGGGUGCACUUAGCGUGUCCCCACUGGUCCAGUUUACCACUCAGCAUGGUCUGCCAAGCAUGAGUAUGCAAAAAAAAUAGAGGGAUUCUCAGACGCCAGCCGACUGCCAGCAGUCGACCGUGGUCUCGGGGACUACACCUAAUUGGUGCACUCUGCGUGCCCCCGCUGGUCUGGAUUCCACUCGAAACAAGCUAUUCAACCGAGUGAAAGAACAAUGAAGUGACAUUCGACAAAGACCCCCGUCGAAUCAAACAUCCGACGGCGGUCUCGUGGACUACACCCAGUGGGUGCACUUUGUGUGCCCCCACUGGUUCAGAGAUACACUCGACUCAAUUUGGUCGACCCAAGUAGAAGAGUUAUUCAACACCAAGUUAAAACACCCAGUGGGUGAUUAAAUGAAAAAUGCAGACUCAUGAUAGAUGCACAUAAAAGGUUCCAAAACGCUCAUCCAGAGACAUCUUACGGACAGUGAAGCAGCAGCUACAGCUACUAUAUCAUAGCAAGGCAAAAAUCAAAUUGAGAGAUAAGUCCGAAAUCAACUGACCUUGACAUUAACAUGCAGAGCAGAGCUGGUGUUGUAGGCAGCCUGGCAGGCCUCAUGCACCACCUUCAUCUGCUCCAUCAUAACAUUUUCUUGGAGUAUGGCUUCCUUGGCGGCACCCGUCGGGUCAUCUGGAGUGUGAUGUGCAGCAAAGAGCGAUGAUGGCAGUACAGUCGGAGCAAUCACAGGAUCUGAAGCAUGGAGUUGUGCAGGAGAAGCAGAGACUUGAGCAACCGACGCCGAGGGACGGUCAGUCGGCACAAGAUUGGCAAAAGAAACAGUGGCCUAAGUCGGAUCUCCGAAUCACUGGACCACCGUCUCUGGUGCCGAUGUCGACUGAGGCUCCUGGCCUACAACCGUCCUCCCGCUCAAAGACCUGCCCCUCCUUCUUGUAUUCUUCUAAGGCGCUUCUUCAUCGUCGUUUGGAAGUUCAAUGACGUCCCGUGAGGCUACACAAAAUGCAACCAUAGAGACUCAAUUGACCAACAAUUCAGUCGACAAAACAAGCACAAGAUUACAGGAUCGUACCAGCUUUGGAAGUAGCCGCAUCUUCAGUCUCCUCACCAUCUUAAGCCUUGUCAAUAUCCAUGGAAGUCCCGGAAGUUGCAGAACUGAAAAAUUCAUAGCCCACUCGGUCAUAGCAGAAGUAUGAGUCAGUAGGAAAACAAAGAGAGACAGAACACUCACACAAAAGCGACGGGAACGUCCAUCUUGAUCCUGGGCAAGGUCUUCCGAGGCUUUGAAGGGGCAACCUUGGGCUGCUUGGUGACCUUUUCUGACGGCUCCGGUCCGAGUGCGCUUAUGCACUUGCGUGCUUGGAGCCACAGCCUUGUUGCGCCCACCCGCUGGAUCAUGAGACUGCUUGGAUCGGUGCUCUGUGCGAGGUGGUGAGUCGACCUCCUCUUCUUCGUCAUCCGACUCAUCACUCUCUUCCUCAUCAUCAUCAUCAUCAGGAGAUUGCCAGUCGGCGCUCUCCUCUGUGCUAUCCGCUUCCUCCUGGACUUGCUCCUGGGCUUGCUCCCCGUUCGACAUCGAAUACAUCUUAGUAUAGACCUGCAAGGCAAGAAGUUAAUCAAACAUCAGUCAAAUUCAAAGACGGUUGCAAGACAAAAUGAAGUACACUCGGUAAUAAGGAUCGGACCUUGUCCGGCUGGUUGUCAGCGUCGAAUGGAUCCACUCUCCUGGCCCUCCUAGGGUUAUCUUUGUUUCUGCUAAUGCUCUUCAGCCACAGGGACACCGUCUCAUCGGGGACCUCCUCUGGGUGGACCCGAGUGGUGUCAUUGGAGCCCGAGUACAUCCACAUCGAAUGAUCACGGGCUUGUAGCAGCUGGAUGCAUCGACUGAGAAACACUUCCAAUAAAUCCAUGUCAGUUACCCUUGAUGGACCAACUGAACUACCCUCUCGACUAACAUGUUCGUCUCUACUCUCUCCGCUUCGGUCACAAUCAGUGAAGAAGGUUGCUGGACUCGAUCUAGGGUAAAGGGAGGAAGACCGGUCGACUGACCGGGGGUCGGAAUGUCUGGCAGUAGAACAAGGUCAACUGCCAGCCCCUAACCGACUCAGGAAGGGUCAUAGGGAGAAAAGUGCUUUUUUUCCUCAUCUGAAUCCCUAAACCCCCGCACAUUUGAAUCACAUGCGUCCUCUCGUCAGUCGGAGUUGCCUUCUUCACGGUUUGGGAACGAACUAUGAAAAUAUGUUUGAAGAGACCCAGUGCGUUCUACAGCCCAAGAAGCUUUUGCACAUAGAAAUGAAUGCAGCAAGGUAUGAGAUGGUGUUGGGAGAGAAAUGGUGAAGCUGAGCACCGAAAAAGUUCUGAAAACCCCGUAAGAAAGGAUGCGGGGAAAGGGAGAACCCACGGUCGACAUGGGUGGCAAGGAAGACGCACUCACCCGCCCGCGGCUGAGGCUCUAUCUCGUCCCCGGGCAGCCUCAAAGUCCCGUCGGCAAUCAAGCCCAUGGAGGCCAGAUCUUCCAGAUCCUCUGGCCGGAGCAUGGAUCGGAUCCAGUCCCCCUGGAUCCAACUAGGCGGCAUCCCGGACCUUGACGAUGAUCCCCGACUCGUCUUCUUGCCCUUCGCCGUCGCCGUUGCUUUCUUCGCACAGUCCAGAGCCGCCGUCUUAUCCUUCACCAUUGUGGCGGGCUGCACGGGCGGAGCGGCGGCAUCAAGGGCGAAAGAGGACGCGGUGGAGAAGCAGAGGAAGAAGAAGGGGAAUGGGAGUGCACUAUGCAUAUGCAUCGGCCUCGACGCCUUUUAUGGGCCUACUUCCGAGUGGCUGACAUGUGGGCCCGAGCGAUCCUGUCAAAUCUUGCAAUAGUCGUGCACCGAAUACAUGGCGAAAAAGGUGGCACAGAAAUCGAGGCGCCCAUGUCUAUCCGUCCCGUUUACUGCGGCGCGCUCCACCUCACGCGCUUCCCCAAAUUUUCGGAUCCCGUGAGAUCCGGGAACCGCAGUAACCAAUCGUGCCGAAGAUUUCACACCAUAUCAACACUCGAAGAUUGCCAGCAUAAGUUCACUCGACGACCUCUGAAUCGAUCAAGGCGACUGAAAUGAAGUCGAAGUUUCAGCAUGAACCUCGAGCUCAACAAGAAUGCCUAUGAAGCAUAAGAGUCAAGUCAAGGUCAACUUCAACUCUCUAUCGGACCUCAAUCCAUUCAGGGGCUAAUGACGAUGCCAUGAACCUAUGAUAGGGUCAUAGGUCUGACCUAUACGCCCUACCCAAGGUCACUACCCUAGAGUCAAGGACAUUCAAAGUAUAGCAAGAAGUACUGACUGAAGCCGUCGAGUGCAAUCCACUCGACCAGUCACCUCACCCGGAUACCCCAAUUUCACUCGACCUGUAUGGAGUCAUUUGACCAUACAGGAAACCACUCGGAGUACAGAAGACCUAGAGUCACUCAGGAUGGCAACGGUCAGGCAUUCACUCUGUAGUCUUAAAGAUCAUUAAUAGCACUUUAUAGCUGGCGUUACCAGUAAUGCUCUGUCUUAAUGUACAUUGAACCCCUGUAACGGAGGACGCAUGGGGUCCUGGCGCACUCUAUACAAGCCACCCCCCUCCUCUGGGACAAGGGUUCGCACCCCUUGUAACACACACCCAUAUUCCAGUCGACCGCCUCAGGGCACCGAGACGUAGGGCUUUUAUUGGAAAUAUGCCCUAGAGGCAAUAAUAAAAUGAUUAUUAUUAUAUUUCCUUGUUCAUGAUAAUUGUCUUUUAUUCAUGCUAUAAUUGUGUUAUCCGGAAAUCGUAAUGCAUGUGUGAAUACAUAGACCACAACAUGUCCCUAGUAAGCCUCUAGUUGACUAGCUUGUUGAUCAACAGAUAGUCAUGGUUUCCUGACUAUGGACAUUGGAUGUCGUUGAUAACGGGAUCACAUCAUUAGGAGAAUGAUGUGAUGGACCAGACCCAAUCCUAAGCAUAGCACAAGAUCGUGUAGUUUGUUUGCUAGAGCUUUUACAAUGUCAAGUAUCUUUUCCUUAGACCAUGAGAUCGUGUAACUCCCGGAUACCGUAGGAGUGCUUUGGGUGUACCAAACGUCACAACGUAACUGGGUGACUAUAAAGGUAUACUACGGGUAUCCCCAAAAGUAUCUGUUGGGUUGACACAGAUCGACACUGGGAUUUGUCACUCCGUAUGACGGAGAGGUAUCUCUGGGCCCACUCGGUAAUGCAUCAUCAUAAUGAGCUCAGAGUGACCAAGUGUUUGGUCACGGGAUCAUGCAUUACGGUACGAAUAAAGUGACUUGCCGGUAACGAUAUUGAACGAGGUAUUGGGAUACCGACGAUCGAAUCUCGGGCAAGUAACAUACCGAUUGACAAAGGGAAUUGUACACGGGGUUACUUGAAUCCUCGACAUCGUGGUUCAUCCGAUGAGAACAUCGAGGAGCAUGUGGGAGCCAAUAUGGGUAUCUAGAUCCCGCUGUUGGUUAUUGACCGGAGAGUCGUCUCGGUCAUGUCUGCAUGUCUUCCGAACCCGUAGGGUCUACACACUUAAGGUUCGGUGACGCUAGGGUUGUAGAGAUAUUAGUAUGCGAAAGUUGUUCGGAGUCCCGGAUGAGAUCCCGGACGUCACGAGGAGUUCCAGAAUGGUCCGGAGGUAAAGAAUUAUAUAUAGGAAGUCAGGUUUCGGCCAUCAGGAAAGUUUUGAGGGUCACUGGUAUUGUACCGGGACCACCGGAAGGGUCCCGGGGGUCCACCGGGUGGGGCCACCUAUCCCAGAGGGCCCCAUGGGCUGAAGUGGGAGGGGAACCAGCCCCUGGUGGGCUGUUGCGCCCCCCCCCCCCCUUAGGGGGCAAGUUUCCCCCCUGGCCGCCGCCCCCCUUGGAGAUUGCAUCUCCUAGGGCCGGCGCUCCCCCUAGGGGCGCUAUAUAAAGAAGGGGGAGGGAGGGCAGCCGCACCCGUGCUCUUGGCGCCUCCCUCUCCCUCCACAACACCUCUCCCUUUCGUAGUGCUUGGCGAAGCCCUGCCAAGAUCGCUGCUGCAUCCACCACCACGCCGUCGUGCUGCUGGAUCUCCAUCAACCUCUCCUUCCCCCUUGCUGGAUCAAUAAGGAGGAGACGUCUUUCCCAACAGUAUGUGUGUUGAACGCAGAGGUGCUGGCCGUUCAGCACUAGGACCUUCGGUGAUUUGGAUCAUGACGAGUACGACUCCCUCAACCCCGUUCUCUUGAACGCUUCUGCUCGCGAUCUACAAGGGUAUGUAGAUGCACUCCUCUCUCUCGUUGCUAGAUGAACUCCAUAGAUUGAUCUUGGUGAAGCAUAGAAAAUUUUUAUUUUCUGCAACGUUCCCCAACAGUGGUAUCAGAGCUAGGUCUAUGCGUAGUUUCUUUGCACGAGUAUAACACAAAUUUGUUGUGGGAGUAGAUGUUGUCAAUUUUCUUGCCACUACUAGUCUUAUUUUGCUUCGGCGGCAUCGUGGGAUGAAGCGUCCCGGACCGACCUUACACGUACGCUUACAUGAGACAGGUUCCACCGACUGACAUGCACUAGUUGCAUAAGGUGGCUAGCGGGUGUCUGUCUCUCCCACUUUAGUUGGAGCGGAUUCGAUGAAAAGGGUCCUUAUGAAGGGUAAAUAGAAAUUGGCAUAUCACAUUGUGGCUUUCACGUAGGUAAGAAAACGUUUUUGCUAGAACCCUAUUGCAGCCACGUAAAACAUGCAACAACAAUUAGAGGACGUCUAACUUGUUUUUGCAGCAUAUGCCUUGUGAUGUGAUAUGGCCAAAAGUUGUGAUGAAUGAUAUAUAUGUGAUGUAUGAGAUCAUGUUCUUGUAAUAGGAAUCACGACUUGCAUGUCGGUGAGUAUGACAACCGGCAGGAGCCAUAGGAGUUGUCUUAAUUAUUGUAUGACCUGCGUGUCAAUGAUCAAACGCCAUGUAAUUACUUUACUUUAUUGCUAAACCGUUAGCCAUAGUAGUAGAAGUAAUAGUUGGCAAGCAACUUCAUGGAGACACGAUGAUGGAGAUCAUGGUGUCAUGCCGGUGCCGAAGAUGAUCAUGGCACCCCGAAGACGGAGAUCAAAGGAGCUAUAUGAUAUUGGCCAUAUCAUGUCACUAUUUGAUUGCAUGUGAUGUUUAUCAUGUUUUUGCAUCUUGUUUACUUAGAACGACGGUAGUAAAUAAGAUGAUCCCUCAUAAUAAUUUCAAGAAAGUGUUCCCCCUAACUGUGCGCCGUUGCGAAAGUUCGUUGUUUCGAAGCACCACGUGAUGAUCGGGUGUGAUAGAUUCCAACGUUCACAUACAACGGGUGUAAGACAAAUUUACACAUGCAUAAACACUUAGGUUAACUUGACGAGCCUAGCAUGUACAGACAUGGCCUCGGAACACAUGAGACCGAAAGGUCGAACAUGAGUCGUAUGGAAGAUACGAUCAACAUGGAGAUGUUCACCGAUGAUGACUAGUCCGUCUCACGUGAUGAUCGGACACGACCUAGUCGACUCGGAUCAUGUAACACUUAGAUGACUAGAGGGAUGUCUAAUCUGAGUGGGAGUUCAUUAAAUAAUUUGAUUAGAUGAACUUAAUUAUCAUGAACUUAGUCUAAAAACCUUUGCAAAAAAUGUCUUGUAGAUCAAAUGGCCAACACUCAUGUCAACCUCAACUUCAACGCGUUCCUAGAGAAAACCAAGCUGAAAGAUGAUGGCAGCAACUAUACGGACUGGGUCCGGAACCUGAGGAUCAUCCUCAUAGCUGCCAAGAAAGCAUAUGUCCUAGAAGGACCGCUAGGUGAAGCACCCAUCCCAGAGAACCAAGACGUUAUGAACGCUUGGCAGUCACGUGCUGAUGAUUACUCCCUCGUUCAGUGCGGCAUGCUUUACAGCUUAGAACCGGGGCUCCAAAAGUGUUUUGAGCAACACAGAGCAUAUGAGAUGUUCGAGGAGCUGAAAAUGGUUUUUCAAGAUCGUGCCCGAGUCGAGAGAUAUGAAGUCUCCGAAAAGUUCUAUAGUUGUAAGAUGGAGGAAAAUAGUUCUGUCAGUGAGCACAUACUCAAAAUGUCUGGGUUGCACAACCGCUUUUCCCAGCUGGACAUUAACCUCCCGGAUGAGGCGGUCAUUGACAGAAUCCUUCAGUCACUCCCACCUAGCUACAAGAGCUUUGUAAUGAACUACAAUAUGCAGGGGAUGGUGAAAACUAUUCCUGAAGUAUUUUCAAUGCUGAAGUCAGCGGAGGUGGAAAUCAAAAAGGAACAUCAAGUGUUGAUGGUCAAUAAAACCACUAAGUUCAAGAAAGGCAAGGGUAAGAAGAACUUCUAGAAGGACGGCAAGGAAGUUGCCGCGUCUGGUAAGUCAGUUACCGGGAAGAAGUCAAAGAAUGGACCCAAGCCUGAGACUGAGUGCUUUUAUUGCAAAGGGAAGGGUCACUGGAAGCGGAAUUGCCCCAAAUACUUAGCGGACAAGAAGGUCGGCAAGACUAAAGGUAUAUGUGAUAUACAUGUAACUGAUGUGUACCUUACCAGUACUCGUAGUAUCUCCUGGGUAUUUGAUACCUGUGCGGUUGCUCAUAUUUGUAACUCAAAGCAGGAGCUGCGGAAUAAGCGAAGACUGGUGAAGGACGAGGUGACGAUGCGCGUCAGGAAUGGUUCCAAGGUCGAUGUGAUCGCCGUCGGCACGCUUCCUCUACAUUUACCUACGGGAUUAGUUUUAAACCUCAAUAGUUGUUAUUUAGUGCCAGCUUUGAGCAUGAACAUUGUAUCUAGAUCUCGUUUAAUGCGAGAUGGAUACUCAUUUAAAUCUGAGAAUAAUGGUUGUUCUAUUUAUAUGAGAGAUAUGUUUUAUGGUCAUUCCCCGCUGGUCAAUGGUUUAUUCUUAAUGAAUCUCGAACGUAAUGUUACACAUAUUCAUAGUGUGAAUACCAAAAGAUAUAAGGUUGAUAACGAUAGUCCCACAUACUUGUGGCACUGCCGCCUUGGUCACAUUGGUGUCAAGCGCAUGAAGAAGCUGCAUGCUGAUGGGCUUUUAGAGUCUCUCGAUUAUGAAUCAUUUGACACAUGCGAACCAUGCCUCAUGGGCAAAAUGACCAAGACUCCGUUCUCCGGAACAAUGGAGCGAGCAACCAACUUAUUGGAAAUCAUACAUACUGAUGUGUGCGAUCCAAUGAGCGUUGAGGCUCGCGGAGGCUAUUGUUAUGUUCUCACUCUCACUGAUGACUUAAGUAGAUAUGGGUAUGUCUACUUGAUGAAACACAAGUCUGAGACCUUUGAAAAGUUCAAGGAAUUUCAGAAUGAGGUAGAGAAUCAACGUGACCGAAAAAUAAAGUUUUUACGAUCAGAUCAUGGAGGAGAAUAUUUUAGUCACGAAUUUGGUACGCACUUAAGGAAAUGUAGAAUUGUUUCACAACUCACGCCGCCUGGAACACCUCAGCAUAACGGUGUGUCCGAACGUCGUAAUCGCACUCUAUUGGAUAUGGUGCGAUCUAUGAUGUCUCUUACCGAUUUAUCGCUAUCAUUUUGGGGAUACGCUCUAGAGACAGCUACAUUCACUUUAAAUAGGGCACCGUCUAAAUCCAUUGAGACGACACCGUAUGAAUUAUGGUUUGGGAAGAAACCUAAGCUGUCGUUUCUAAAAGUUUGGGGAUGCGAUGCUUAUAUUAAGAAACUUCAACCUGAAAAGCUCGAACCCAAGUCGGAAAAAUGCGUCUUCAUAGGAUAUCCUAAGGAAACCAUUGGGUAUACCUUCUACCUUAGAUCCGAAGGCAAGAUCUUUGUUGCCAAGAACGGGUCCUUUCUGAAGAAAGAGUUUCUCUCGAAAGAAGUAAGUGGGAGGAAAGUAGAACUCGAUGAAGUACUACCUCUUGAACAGGAAAGUAGUGCAGCUCAGGAAAAUGUUCCUGUGGUGCCUACACUGAUUGGAGAGGAAAUUAAUGGUAAUGAUCAAAGUACUUCGGAUCAAGUUGCUACUGAACUUUGUAGGUCCACAAGGACACGUUCCACACCAGAGUGGUAUGGCAACCCUGUCCUGGAAAUCAUGUUGUUAGACAACGGUGAACCUUCGAACUAUGAAGAAGCGAUGGCGGGCCCAGAUUCCAACAAAUAGCUUGAAGCCAUUCAAUCCGAGAUAGAAUCCAUGUAUGAAAACAAAGUAUGGACUUUGACAGACUUGCCCGAUGAUCGGCGAGCGAUAGAAAAUAAAUGGAUCUUUAAGAAGAAGACGGACGCGGAUGGUAAUGUUACCAUCUAUAAAGCUCGACUUGUCGCUAAGGGUUAUCGGCAAGUUCAAGGGGUUGACUACGAUGAGACUUUCUCUCCCGUAGCGAAGCUGAAGUCCGUCCGAAUCAUGUUAGCAAUUGCCGCAUACUAUGAUUAUGAGAUAUGGCAAAUGGACGUCAAAACGGCAUUCCUUAACGGCUAUCUUAAGGAAGAACUGUAUAUGAUGCAGCCGGAAGGUUUUGUCGAUCCCGAGAAUGCUAACAAGGUAUGCAAGCUCCAGCGAUCCAUUUAUGGGCUGGUGCAAGCAUCUCGGAGUUGGAACAUUCGCUUUGAUGAGAUGAUCAAAGCGUUUGGGUUUAUGCAGACUUAUGGAGAAGCCUGCGUUUACAAGAAAGUGAGUGGGAGCUCUGUAGCAUUUCUCAUAUUAUAUGUAGAUGACAUACUUUUGAUGGGAAAUGAUAUAGAACUUUUGGACAGCAUUAAGGCCUACUUGAACAAGUGUUUUUCAAUAAAGGACCUUGGAGAAGCUGCUUACAUAUUAGGCAUCAAGAUCUAUAGGGAUAGAUCGAGAUGCCUCAUAGGUCUUUCACAAAGCACAUACCUUGAUAAGAUAUUGAAGAAGUUCAAUAUGGAUCAGUCCAAGAAAGGGUUCUUGCCUGUAUUGCAAGGUGUGAGAUUGAGCUCGGCUCAAUGCCCAACCACGGCAGAAGAUAUAGAAGAGAUGAGUGUCAUCCCAUAUGCCUCAGCCAUAGGGUCUAUUAUGUAUGCCAUGCUGUGUACCAGACCUGAUGUAAACCUCGUCGUAAGUUUGGUAGGAAGGUACCAAAGUAAUCCCGGCAAGGAACACUGGACAGCGGUCAAGAAUAUCCUGAAGUACCUGAAGAGGACUAAGGAUAUGUUUCUUGUUUAUGGAGGUGACGAAGAGCUUGUUGUAAAGGGUUACGUCGACGCUAGCUUCAACACAGAUCUGGAUGACUCUAAGUCACAAACCGGAUACGUGUAUAUUUUGAAUGGAGGGGCAGUAAGCUGGUGCAGUUGCAAGCAGAGCGUCGUGGCGGGAUCUACAUGUGAAGCGGAGUACAUGGCAGCCUCGGAGGCAGCGCAUGAAGCAAUCUGGAUGAAGGAGUUCAUCACCGACCUAGGAGUCAUACCCAAUGUGUCGGGGCCGAUCACUCUCUUCUGUGACAACACUGGAGCUAUUGCCCUUGCCAAGGAGCCCAUGUUUCACAAGAAGACCAGGCACAUCAAGCGUCGCUUCAACUCCAUUCGUGAAAACGUUCAAGAUGGAGACAUAGAUAUUUGCAAACUGCAUACGGAUCUGAAUGUCGCAGAUCCGUUGACUAAACCUCUUCCGCGAGCAAAACAUGAUCAACACCAGAACUCUAUGGGUGUUCGAUUCAUCACAAUGUAACUAGAUUAUUGACUCUAGUGCAAGUGGGAUACUGUUGGAAAUAUUCCCUAGAGGCAAUAAUAAAAUGAUUAUUAUUAUAUUUCCUUGUUCAUGAUAAUUGUCUUUUAUUCAUGCUAUAAUUGUGUUAUCCGGAAAUCGUAAUACAUGUGUGAAUACAGAGACCACAACAUGUCCCUAGUAAGCCUUUAGUUGACUAGCUCGUUGAUCAACAGAUAGUCAUGGUUUCCUGACUAUGGACAUUGGAUGUCGUUGAUAACGGGAUCACAUCAUUAAGAGAAUGAUGUGAUGGACAAGACCCAAUCCUAAGCAUAGCACAAGAUCGUGUAGUUCGUUUGCUAGAGCUUUUCCAAUGUCAAGUAUCUUUUCCUUAGACCAUGAGAUCGUGUAACUCCCGGAUACCGUAGGAGUGCUUUGGGUGUACCAAACGGCAUAAUGUAACUGGGUGACUAUAAAGGUAUACUACGGGUAUCCCCGAAAGUAUCUGUUGGGUUGACAUGGAUCGAGACUGGGAUUUGUCACUCCGUAUGACGGAGAGGUAUCUCUGGGCCCACUCGGUAAUGCAUCAUCAAAAUGAGCUCAAAGUGACCAAGUGUUUGGUCACGGGAUCAUGCAUUACGGUACGAGUAAAGUGACUUGCCGGUAACGAGAUUGAACGAGGUAUUGGGAUACCGACGAUCGAAUCUCGGGCAAGUAAUGUACCGAUUGACAAAGGAAAUUGUAUACAGGGUUACAUGAAUCCUCGACAUCGUGGUUCAUCCGAUGAGAUCAUCGAGGAGCAUGUGGGAGCCAACAUGGGUAUCCAGAUCCCGCUGUUGGUUAUUGACCGGAGAGUCGUCUCGGUCAUGUCUGCGUGUCUCCCGAACCCGUAGGGUCUACACACUUAAGGUUCGGUGACGCUAGGGUUGUAGAGAUAUUAGUAUGCAGUAACCCAAAAGUUGUUCGGAGUCUGGCAUGAGAUCCCGGACGUCACGAGGAGUUCCGAAAUGGUCCAGAGGUGAAAAAUUAUAUAUAGAAAGUCAGGUUUCGGCCAUCGGGAAAGUUUCGGAGGUCACCGGUAUUGUACCGGGACCACCGGGAGGGUCCCGGGGUCCACUGGGUGGGGCCACCUAUCCCGGAGGGCCCCAUGGGCUGAAGUGGGAGGGGAACCAACCCCUGGUGGGCUGGUGCGCCCCCUCCCCCUUGGGCCCCCCUGCGCCUAGGGUUGGAAAUUCUAGGGGUGGGGGCGCCUCCACCUGGCUUGGGGGGCAAGUUUCCCCCCUGGCCGGCGCCCCCCCUUGGAGAUUGCAUCUCCUAGGGACGGCGCCCCCCCUAGGGGCCCUAUAUAAAGAGGGGGGAGGGGGCAGCCGCACCCAUGCUCUUGGUGCCUCCCUCUCCCUCCGCAACACCUCUCCCUCUCGUAGUGCUUGGCGAAGCCCUGCCGAGAUCGCUGCUGCAUCCACCAUCACGCCGUCGUGCUGCUGGAUCUCCAUCAACCUCUCCUUCCCCCUUGCUGGAUCAAGAAGGAGGAGACGUCUUCCCCAACCGUACGUGUGUUGAACGCGGAGGUGGUGUCCGUUCAGCACUAGGACCUUCGGUGAUUUGGAUCAAGACAAGUACGACUCUCUCAACCUCGUUCUCUUGAACGCUUCCGCUCGUGAUCUACAAGGGUAUGUAGCUGCACUCCUAUCUCUCGUUGCUAGAUGAACUUCAUAGAUUGAUCUUGGUGAAGCAUAGAAAAUUUUUAUUUUCUGCAACGUUCCCAACAGCUUUUACCUCCUUCGAGAGGGGCUUGAACUCGUAAACUUGUGCGUACAAUCUCGUCGUAGCUAGGGCCUUGCCUCCUCAUACGUACCCCCUACUCUUACUGUCAGACUUACAACCACGACAGAUAGUUAGUGAUAUUCUGUUUAAGCUAAUCUCUUAUCUCUAUCUCCCCUUGGAGUCCUCCUGCGGUUAGCCUGGCUGCCGAAUACUGUAACCUAUCAGAGACAUCUCUCGAUCAGAUCAAUAUAAACCAAUGCGAGUCCUCUAUUUGAGAGUUGAGAUGCUUCCACAAUCUUCACAUGGUAAUCAAAGCCUCCCUCUUCCACUGCAUCUAGCAACCAUCUUCUCAAUCGCAUCAUCCAGCCUCCCAUCUUCCCAUCACACCCACUAUUUCUUUCUCCAGCCAAACUAUCUCCACCGGCCUGAACAAUACCAUCUCCGAGCCUCUCACAAGAACCAACUAUAUUAUAUCGCGAGCCCAAGCUCGCUCCCAGACCAUGGGGACAGGGCUAUAUGGGUAUGUCGAUCAGACCAUUGCCGAGAAACCAAAAACCAUUGUUACCAAAACCUCCAAAGGGAAGGAACAAACCGUUCCUAAUCCGGCCCAUAGCCCUUGUCUUACUCAAGAUGCAGCGGACAUUCGGACAAGGAGGACGCAGAAUAAGUCCGGUUGUGUCCGCUUCGGACCCAAAUCUGACCCAAUUUGCAACGAAAAUGCGUCCAAACGCAAACAGAAUGAACAUAAAAUGGAAAUGGAUGUCCGCUUGGGCAUCUUUUUUGUCUGGGCGGACAUAAACGGAUGCGGCCGGACCAAAUGGGUCGUCGCAUUGGAGUUGCUCUAAGAGAUUGGAAAUUUUCUACGGACCUACCACAACCAUGCUAGGUAGUAGUAUGAUGGAUUGUUUCCCAUAUGUCUGUCAUCUAAUCAUCGAUGUAUGGUUGAGAGGCAUUUGGUUCUCUUUAGCGAAUUACACCAAAAUAUAUUUUCCUAGACUUUCGACUGCUACAAAAUUUAAGGCCCCAACUUGUUUUCUACUCUGCAUUGAGAGGUUUGGGGUCUUGCCAAAAGUUGGAGGUGUUGGUGCUAUUUUUAUUUUACUAGAUGACCCGGUUGCGCCAAUGGCGCAAGAAGCCAAUUCGAAGCAAUGUUAGUGGAGAGUAAGAGAUGUAGAUGGAAAGAUAAUGCAAUGUGGAUUGUAUUGCAGACAAUAGAAUGACUUAAAUUGGUUUACAGAUAGUAGAAUAACUGAUAUCAAUUUACAGAAAUAGACUUAUAUAUAGGCAGCCUCACAGCUUAUUUAGACAUCUUCUUAGUCCGGUUGUGGUCUUCAGAGGAUAUGUACACAUAAGCAAAGUGUUAGUCGUCGGAUAAUGCUUGCAUGGUAGACUUCCACACAGGUACUUGAAGGCCUAUAAAAGGUGUUGGUUCCACUGCCACUCCAUUUGGAGUAGCCCAUAUAGUUAUUAUCUCCGCAAUAUCUUUGCUUUCAUUGGUCCAUAUGACACACGUGUAGAACCAUAUAUCAAGGAAAUCACCAACAUGAUAGUUAUUGUUCUCUAGCUUGCAACAAUGAAUCAGGAUGUCUUCCAUUAUAGGUGAGGUGGGUUGUUGGUAGCCCUGUAAUCCUUAUCUCAUCUCUUCGAGAGAGGAUAUGUGAUACUGCACCAAUAGACACGAUGAGAGGACACCAAGCAACCUGCGGUAGACAGAAUAAAUGGCUUAGGAGGGGAAAACAGAAAUGAAAAGAGUGUGUAUAAUAAUCAUACUACACAAAGGAUAAGUUAACUAUGCCUGCAAUCACCAUGGAUAGAAUUAGUAACAUCUAUCUGUUUCUUGAAUGGAACGCAGGUGAAUGCAUCUCCAGUAAGAGAAGAAUAGGUAGUGAGCACACAAGUUUGCACUUUACACAGGUAAGUAAUUGGAUCAGGUCAUCAGGUUUGCUAAUGAGGUUAGAACAAAAGUUUGGUAUCAAAAGUAACUUAAUACAAUUGCAGAGGAAAGGUUUUGUAAGAAAGGUACUCUGUAAGCAAUUUCUUCUGGUCAAAACAGAUGCAAAGCAAAGGUGUGAAAACAUCAGUUUAUCUUGGUUUUUAGGCCUAUUAUCAAACAUCUUGGUUUUUAGGCCUAUUAUCAGACAUCUAGGUUUUUAGGCCUAUUAUCAAACAGCCUAUGAGUGUCACAAAAACAGUGAAGUAGAUAAAAUCUGGGAGUUAUUCAACUAAGUUUGACAAUACAAAGUUUAUUUCCUGUGAAAAAUACAUCAUCUGGUUUUUAGGAAGAUCCAAUAUACAAACAACAAAUGGUUUAAUUUACAUGUGUCAUCGCCAUUGCAGAACUAAAUACACCUAUCCCAGAUCCUUGCACCUAGAGCAGAGAAAUAAUUUCAAGUAAAGAAAAGCGGGAACGAUUGUUAAGGAGGUAUUUUUGUCGAGGAUGUCAGCUGCAACCUCCCAAAGCAUAGGGACAACAUAAAUUAGGGGUUCACUAAGAGUAUUAUGUUAACAAUCUGGUCUCACACAUAGCCUAAGUAUAUACUCAUAGGCAUGUUCCUUAGUAUAUAACUAAUAACAAAGACGCAUUGUCGAUCAAUUAAACCAAAGUUAAUAGUGCAGCGUGUUGUCUGUAAAGUCAAGUGACCAUGCAGUUGUUUUUCCUGGGAUAAAGAUGGUGUGAUCUUCUCCAUGGUCUUUAGUUUUCAUCUUUCAGCCUAUGUAUAUGAAGUCUUGGUUGACCUGCACUUCAAUUGAUAGUUUGGUAAAGCCUUGUACUAAAAAGAUCAGAAAACAAAUUGGUGAUUAGCAUGUACUGCUCCAAGAAACCUGGAUCACCAUCUGAAUGAAAAUGCACCUAAAGGAAGGUGUAUCACAAUUUCUUAGUCCAUUCUCAUUCAUAGUAUUCUCCCUGAUGAUUUCUCAAGAUGUUUCAGUAUAGAUCUUUGGCCACAUAUGUCCAAUACAAAGUUGUCAUAUGCAAUGGAACACAUGGUACAUGAUCACAUAUAUUAACAAACUAUCUUCAGAAGAUUGGAUGGAAACCUCCUAACAUAAGAAAAUCUUUUGAUCUAAGUGCGUGUUUCUUCUAAGGUGGUCAGCAAACUGGACCCUCACAAAAGAGCUAACAUAGCAGAGAUAAAAACUAAUGAACUGAAGACAACCUCAAUUAGGACCUAUAAACCUCUCAGAUGUCAUCGAAGCAAACUAUCAUGUACAGAUCAUUGCCAACGUUCAUCUUGAAUGUAAGCAGGACAUCCAUACCAACCUCAAGUCCUGUUUUUAGGAGAAAUUUAUUGUAUCCAUGUUAAUCAAGAUGCAGACAUCAUGUGAUUGUUCGUCAUACUCGGUCCUAGAUAGUGAAGCGUUGUUUGCCAAACUGUAGUCCCACCAGUCCGUGCUUGGGAUAUUCAAACGACAAGCUACUUCCUUUGGUAUUUUCUGGGCGACCAUAUAUUACACCCAAAAAAGAGUGAGUGUUAUGAUCCCAGUUAUGAAAAUGGCACAAGAACAAAAGGAGAACAAGAAAAACAAAUGCAUCCUAUAGGGCGAAAUAGAUCGAAAAAAGAGUGUGCAACAGAAUGCAUGUAACUCAACCUAAGGUGACCAGAUCACACAUAUUUAGAUAUGUGAAACUGAAGUAGGCACGACAAUGAGUGAGAUAGAUGAAAUACAUGUGUUCACCGAAGUAGGUACAGAAGGUGAACUCGUUGUGAGAUACGCGAUAUAUAUGUAAUCAGUGAAAUACUUCAUAAAGUGAAAUUGAAAUAGGCACCCAAUACGAAAGACCGGGAGUAAUAGGGAAUUCUAAAGAGCAAACACCAACCUUGGUAAGCAGAUCAGCAAACGAAGAGCAAUCAGAUGACAAGGCGAGGAGAUCCAGUCAAACGAAAAUGAAUCAAGAGAGGAUGCAUUAAAAUAACAAGCAGAUGGGCCAUUGAAGUAUGCAAACCAUGGAUUUAUGCCUGCAGUUACCAUAGUACAUUUUGGCGAAACUACGGAAGAAAAGGUCUGAAGAUUUUGGCAAUCUAUAAGUCAUAUGAUUGUGUAGAACUUACACACCUAAAGGGAUUAUCUAAGCACAAACCAGCACGAGAUGCAAACUAAUAGGGCAUGAUAAACUUAUUUGAAGGAGAAGGCGAACCAUGACAACACUGAUCGAACAAGGUAUACAGAAUCAGUAAAUUGCAUAUGUUCUUUUGAUGAAUAUUGCAAAAAUGGUACAAAAAAGGGCAUGUUCAGGUGCGCAAUUUCUAUGGCAAGACAAGCACCAAACAAAACAAAUAGAGAAAGAGGUAACUUAAUACCGUAAAUCCAAAUAACAACUUAUCGCAGGAGCAACACAACACCGACUACAAUCAAGAAGAAUGCACCUGAACUGAAGCAUAGGCUAAAGAUAAAUUCAGAACAUGGGUAUUCUUAUAGCUUUAUGCCGCUACUCUAAAAUGCAGAGUCACCGAAUCCCAAAUUUCAGAACCAAUCCCAUAAAUUCAGAUCUACUACAUCAACCUAUCACAGGAAAUACACAGGUUGUCAUGAUACCCCUAAAAAAGGCGCUCUUGGAGGCAGGCAGAUUGGUCCGGACGCCCUCGUUAUUAGCAUAAUUGAUUAACUAUCAAAUGGGUAUCCACUCAAAUUAUCUAAAGGGAGAUUAUUCUUUGUGGUGAUCCACAUGCUAUAAAUUUUCAAGUAAUGUUAUACAUGAAAUGGAGGUUAUAUGAUUAACUAUCAUAUCAACAUCACUCAAAUUAUCUGAAGGGAAACUCAAUAUUUUUCAGGCUAAAGCACUGAAACGGAGGAGCUACCCCACUUUUCUUUCUUAUACAGAUUAUACAUGAAAUAAAAUGAAGUAUACAUGGUGUAAAUGAUUAGUGAAUUGCUCCUCCCUAUCCAGACGAAUUAAUUUCAACCACCAAAUCACAGCAAAGAGGACGAAAAGUGAAUAAAUUGGAUGAGAAGGAGCUGCAAUACCUGUGGAUGGGUUGGAGAUAGCGAGGUCGCCGGCAAGGACGCCCAUCCAAUCAUGUUUAUGUUUUUGUGAAACCUGAGAAGAAUGUGAAAACUGAGAUGCAAGUAACACCAUAGCUUCCUUUUGUUUUGAUUCUGCUGAAAAGUCCCAUAGCAUGAUAUCUUCAGAACAACAUGUGGUGUGCCGGUGGCAUCCAAACAAAAAGAUUUGGAACAGGGAGAAUAGAAAUACACCAAAAGAGAUCGUCGUCUUUGAAUUUUUUUUCUCACGCCUGGCCUAAUUGCAAAGAUAUUUUUAAAUGCCCACAUAUUUAUUUAGCUGAUUNNNNNNNNNNNNNNNNNNNNNNNNNNNNNNNNNNNNNNNNNNNNNNNNNNNNNNNNNNNNNNNNNNNNNNNNNNNNNNNNNNNNNNNNNNNNNNNNNNNNNNNNNNNNNNNNNNNNNNNNNNNNNNNNNNNNNNNNNNNNNNNNNNNNNNNNNNNNNNNNNNNNNNNNNNNNNNNNNNNNNNNNNNNNNNNNNNNNNNNNNNNNNNNNNNNNNNNNNNNNNNNNNNNNNNNNNNNNNNNNNNNNNNNNNNNNNNNNNNNNNNNNNNNNNNNNNNNNNNNNNNNNNNNNNNNNNNNNNNNNNNNNNNNNNNNNNNNNNNNNNNNNNNNNNNNNNNNNNNNNNNNNNNNNNNNNNNNNNNNNNNNNNNNNNNNNNNNNNNNNNNNNNNNNNNNNNNNNNNNNNNNNNNNNNNNNNNNNNNNNNNNNNNNNNNNNNNNNNNNNNNNNNNNNNNNNNNNNNNNNNNNNNNNNNNNNNNNNNNNNNNNNNNNNNNNNNNNNNNNNNNNNNNNNNNNNNNNNNNNNNNNNNNNNNNNNNNNNNNNNNNNNNNNNNNNNNNNNNNNNNNNNNNNNNNNNNNNNNNNNNNNNNNNNNNNNNNNNNNNNNNNNNNNNNNNNNNNNNNNNNNNNNNNNNNNNNNNNNNNNNNNNNNNNNNNNNNNNNNNNNNNNNNNNNNNNNNNNNNNNNNNNNNNNNNNNNNNNNNNNNNNNNNNNNNNNNNNNNNNNNNNNNNNNNNNNNNNNNNNNNNNNNNNNNNNNNNNNNNNNNNNNNNNNNNNNNNNNNNNNNNNNNNNNNNNNNNNNNNNNNNNNNNNNNNNNNNNNNNNNNNNNNNNNNNNNNNNNNNNNNNNNNNNNNNNNNNNNNNNNNNNNNNNNNNNNNNNNNNNNNNNNNNNNNNNNNNNNNNNNNNNNNNNNNNNNNNNNNNNNNNNNNNNNNNNNNNNNNNNNNNNNNNNNNNNNNNNNNNNNNNNNNNNNNNNNNNNNNNNNNNNNNNNNNNNNNNNNNNNNNNNNNNNNNNNNNNNNNNNNNNNNNNNNNNNNNNNNNNNNNNNNNNNNNNNNNNNNNNNNNNNNNNNNNNNNNNNNNNNNNNNNNNNNNNNNNNNNNNNNNNNNNNNNNNNNNNNNNNNNNNNNNNNNNNNNNNNNNNNNNNNNNNNNNNNNNNNNNNNNNNNNNNNNNNNNNNNNNNNNNNNNNNNNNNNNNNNNNNNNNNNNNNNNNNNNNNNNNNNNNNNNNNNNNNNNNNNNNNNNNNNNNNNNNNNNNNNNNNNNNNNNNNNNNNNNNNNNNNNNNNNNNNNNNNNNNNNNNNNNNNNNNNNNNNNNNNNNNNNNNNNNNNNNNNNNNNNNNNNNNNNNNNNNNNNNNNNNNNNNNNNNNNNNNNNNNNNNNNNNNNNNNNNNNNNNNCAGCUGAAAAAUGGGCAAUCCAGAAAUACUUGACUCGUAUAGUCCAGGGAUCGCAAAAGUAGCUAAUUCAAUAUCUAGACUCUGAGUGUGCAAUGAACAAUUGUAGAGUUGGCAAGGACAUAAAUCCUAGAGUAAAGAUAUUGAUAUUAAAUAAAUGAACUGGGAAUGAAGAGAAGGGGGACCUCACUGUCCAUGGCUAAGCAAAACAAACUUACAUGUAAAGAUGUGGCAUAGGUGUGCAUGUCUCGCCGAGUGAGAUACCUGUGGGUUGCACAUAAUGAUGCAAGAGUAGUCUGUCUCCAGAAAACUUCAAAGAUACACGACCACACCAAAGUUCAAGUCAAAAUUAGUUAUGUACAACAGUACAAGAUGAUUCUAUGACUGGCAACCAAUUAUUCUAGGGUUAGACCAAUCAGUUCUCAGCUUACCUAAUUAGUUUGGUCUGCUAAGCAUUUUGUUCCUAAUGCAAUCUUCAAGUAUAUUGUGUAACCAAGUUAUUCAUUGGUACUAAAGAAAGAACAGCCUGUAAAAAUUAUCUGAGCAAAGUAGAAAAAAUAAAAAAAUUAGUAAAAAGCAAUAAAUCCUAAUCGCCAUCUCAGUCAGCAAUAUAAAAAGUUCUACCAUGAUUCUUCAAUGCAUUGCGAAGUGAGAUCCCAAUCCCAUUUUCAUCUCAAUCCUUCUCCAGAGCUAUUUUCCCCCAAUCUUUUUUGGCCAACAGUCUGUAGGAACAUAGUGGAACUUCCCCAAUCUUCUUUGGCCAUCAGUCUGUAGGACAAAAUGUAACUUCAAUGUAUAAGAGUAUGACAAAUAAAACAAUAUUUGCACAAACAAAGACGAAAUUUUCUAGGAAAUUAAAGGGUCAAGUGUAACAAGGCUGGGUGAAGUUUAAGAUGGGUAGGACGUUCCAUGUGAGGUCCGCUCUGUACAAAGCAUGAUCAUGCAUUAUCCUAUCAAUUUGACUACCCUAGAAAGAGGAAGCAAAUAUUGUACCCAUGCCAAACAGUGGCUUGAGAGAUGAAACACUUUAUGAUAUACUGUAUUUUAGUUGUUGAGAUGCAGUUGGACUGCUGAAUAAAAAAAAUUACACAGCACAGAGUCAGAGAUGAUGACUGAACUUACAUAUCUUUUGGAAGUGUUGAUUCAUCAGUAUUUGAAUACAGAAACAAUGAGCAACCACUCUCAACACUCAGAACCUCGAGAGAAGAUAUGUGUGUUCACUUAUAAUCAGUAAUCAUGAAGAUCUUAUAAUCAGUAAUCAUGAAGAUGUCCAUGCACGCACCUGUUUGAACAGCAUUAGCAACCUGUGAUAUGCCAAUCAGGAUACCUCACAAAAUAUUCACAGAAUAGAUCAAUAUGUAUGCAAACCAACAACUGCCGCAUCACUUUCUCACCUGCAACUUGGGAGCAGGCCGCCGCCGUCGACCACCGCGCUGCAUCUUGGCUACAUUUAUGAAUCAAAUUCUUAGAACCCUUGGUAUACUGCUAUCUGGCAACAUCACUUGCAACUUGGGAGCAGGUUGCCGCCGUCGACCACCGCUCUACAUCUUGGCUGCAUUUAUGAAUCGAAUUCUUAAUAUCCUUGGUAUACUGAACACAAUUUCAUUCAAAGUGCAUAACAUGAUCUAUGAACACAAUUUUAUUCAAAGCAUAUGAACCAAAUUGACUACUACUUCAACCAUUCAACUAACUGCUGCCGCCAUUUUGUGAAGUUAAUCUAGAAAAGUGGUUACAUAGAGCUAGAUCCCAAAAUAAUCACAUGAGGAAAGAAAAACUAUUUUUAUGCAGAAGAUGGGACAUCGUCUCUUCAUACCUCACCAUGGAACACCUCACCAACAAAUCGGUGCCAGGGGAGGUGGCCGCACGGAAAGAGGAAGCUCACCUUGGUGCUGGCGGCAGAUGCAGUAGUCGUCGCUCGAUGCGCAGCUCCCAAAGUCGUGCCUGCCGCCUGCUGCACCAUGCGUGGCGCUCACCGGCAAGGCACCGGCAGGACGAUGUUGGUCCAAGUCGCUGCCGUCCGCGUCCUUCCAGCUCGAGCUCGUCCAUGGGAUUUCAUCCGUUACCUUCACCUCGAGGGUGGCGAGAGAGCAUGGGGCGCAGCUGCUGCUCCCCUCCUCCUGUUGAGUCCUACUCGAGGGCGAGCUCCUCCUGCCGAGUCUCGAGGCCGAGCUCCUCCUGCUGAGGCCGGAUCGAGGCCGACGGGCGCCGGGAGAGCACGGGCGCCGAGGCCAAGGCGGUGGCGGCGGCAGGAGAGGAGGCGAACAAUGCCAAGGCGGCGGCGGCAGGAGAGGAGGCGGCUACGGGGGCGCGGGCUAGGUCUGACUGCUUUUCCUCUUUUCUCUCGCUGCCGCUUCUCCUUUUCUUUUGUCUCGUGCCCGCUCUCUAGGCCGCCCGCUCGCUCGCUGCUCUCUCUGAGCCGCGCACCCACGAGAAUGACAGAUGGGCCCACCACGGCUGGAGCGGAGGCGCCGCCACUGGGUGCAAACGAGGACGGUAAAAAAACGCCCUGCCAACCCACGAACGCCACUGGCAACCCACCAUCGAUCGCCCCCGCUUUCACCCGGACACAGCCACGCACACACCGUGUCGCUGCCAGGCUGGCCCGCGCGCAAAGUUGGCCCAUGCAUCAGUCGCUCUAGCCCGAUUCUGCGGCGUUCAAAAGAACGAGCUCCAGAUGUUUACCACGGCGAUGAAAAGUACGAUGUCAAUGGACAGCAGUGCGAACCGAACAUACAGGAUGAAUUUGAAAGUGCGAGGAUGCUGGAAUGGCGGAUAUUCUAGGAGGGUUUAUAUAUUCAAUUUUUGAGGUGGCUGACCAAAUUACCUCGAUUGAGAAGUCUUUCAAGAAAUCAUUUUUGCUGGAUUGAGGCUAAUCUGAGGGGUUUUGCGUGCCUCUUUUGAAACUUCUUAUGAACUACAACAGCAUGAUUGAUCAACAAACGGUCACUCAAAUAUAUCUGCAUUUCCAUAGCAAAGGUGCGAAGAAAUAUUGACUAUUUCUCCUUUACUUGGUCUAGCUCAAGUAUCACAACGAUGAAUGAAUAUAUAUAAAUUCAGACCAAAUUUACCAUAAAGUUCAAUUUGUAAGCAUUUUGCUGGUAGAUUAAAAAAACUGUCGAACUCAUCUCUUGAAUCAGAAAGAGAACCUCAGCUAAUACAUGCACGCAUUAUAAAAUUUGGGAACUCCACACAAAAGCAAAAUAUUAAAAACUCAAGGACAUAAUCAAUACUGAAUAAAUGGAUGACAUGAGUUACUGCUACAUUAUUACAUCAAGCAGCCAAACAAACAACAUUUAAAAAUAGCAAAUUUUAGUUAUUCUGGAUGUGUGCUGGCUCAGUUAGACGGUGCAGCGGCAGCCUCUCGUGCCUUGGCGAACUCAAGCAGCCUGCCCACGUCUGGCAGGGCCAUCUUGGCCGCGUCGAGCUCGCUGAAGCGCUCCACCCAUGCGGCCAGGAGCGGGGUCUUGGCGGCAUCGAAGAUCUUGUCACCGGACAACACCUCGGUCACCUUCAUCCACGACAGAACGCCUCCCAGCGCAACGUCGACGAGCCCGAGGCCGUCGCCGCCGAAGAAGCCCCCUCCCUUGGAGCAUUCCCUCAGGGCCCCUUCAAGAAUCUCCACCGCCGCGAACGCCUGCUUCUUUCCCUCGGAUUUCUCCUCCUCUGUCUUGCCCCUCAACCACUGCCUCCAUGGGGCUACCAGCUGAAACACGGAGAAAAAUAAUGGUCAAAGUUGCUCGUUGGAUAUCUAAAAGUAAAGGAACGGAGACAAGUAGUUCAAGUAAGUGAAGAUAAUUUAAACCUUGUCGUCAACGUAGGCCAUCCAGAAGCGAGCAAUGGCGCGCUCGUAGGGGUCCGCUGGGAGAAGGGACGGGCCGGUGUCGGCGAACACUUCGUCGAUGUACUGCAGAAUGAUCAUGGACUCGCAGACCGGGGCGCCGUUGUGGAUGAGCACUGGUAUCUUCUUGUGCACCGGGUUGGACUUGAGGAGAAGCUCGCUCUUCUUGUACAGGUCCUCCUCCACGUCCUCGUAGCUCAGGCCCUUCAGGGCGAGUGCCAGCUUCACCCUGGUAACAAACGGGCUUGGCCAUGUGCCGAGCAGCUUCAGGUCAUCUCGUCCGGCCAUCUCUAACUACCUCGAUCGAUGUUUUUUGUGUGUGUGUGUGUGUGUUUUGAAGACCACUGAGAUUGCUUUAGCUGCUUGUGCUUGUGCU
rnacentral:lncRNA from 1 species